rnacentral:rRNA from 1 species
GACGAACGCUGGCGGCGUGCUUAACACAUGCAAGUCGAGCGAUGAAGCUCCUUCGGGAGUGGAUUAGCGGCGGACGGGUGAGUAACACGUGGGUAACCUGCCUCAUAGAGGGGAAUAGCCUUCCGAACGGAAGAUUAAUACCGCAUAAGAUUGCAGUACCGCAUGGUAUAGCAAUUAAAGGAGCAAUCCGCUAUGAGAUGGACCCGCGUCGCAUUAGCUGGUUGGUGAGGUAACGGCUAACCAAGGCGACGAUGCGUAGCCGACCUGAGAGGGUGAUCGGCCACAUUGGGACUGAGACACGGCCCAGACUCCUACGGGAGGCAGCAGUGGGGAAUAUUGCACAAUGGGGGAAACCCUGAUGCAGCAACGCCGCGUGAGUGAUGACGGUCUUCGGAUUGUAAAACUCUGUCUUUGGGGACGAUAAUGACGGUACCCAAGGAGGAAGCCACGGCUAACUACGUGCCAGCAGCCGCAGUAAAAC